rnacentral:rRNA from 1 species
AGUGAACGCUGGCGGUAGGCCUAACACAUGCAAGUCGAACGGCAGCACAGUAAGAGCUUGCUCUUACGGGUGGCGAGUGGCGGACGGGUGAGGAAUACAUCGGAAUCUACUUUUUCGUGGGGGAUAACGUAGGGAAACUUACGCUAAUACCGCAUACGACCUACGGGUGAAAGCAGGGGAUCUUCGGACCUUGCGCGAUUGAAUGAGCCGAUGUCGGAUUAGCUAGUUGGCGGGGUAAAGGCCCACCAAGGCGACGAUCCGUAGCUGGUCUGAGAGGAUGAUCAGCCACCCUGGAACUGAGACACGGUCCAGACUCCUACGGGAGGCAGCAGUGGGGAAUAUUGGACAAUGGGCGCAAGCCUGAUCCAGCCAUACCGCGUGGGUGAAGAAGGCCUUCGGGUUUUAAAGCCCUUUUGUUGGGAAAGAAAAGCAGCAGGUUAAUACCCCGCUGUUCUGACGGUACCCAAAGAAUAAGCACCGGCUAACUUCGUG